ensembl:lncRNA
AAAGUUCAGAGGUGAGUGGUUGCCUCCUCAAAGAGAUCGUCAAGGUUUUGAAACAGAUAGAGCUCUUCAUGCCUGGGAGCUACAAACCAUCUCAGACUUGCUGGGUCUUCAUGGGGUGGGUGAGUCCCAUAGCUGUAGGGUUUUUUACAUGUUCCUUGGGAUUAUUCAGUGGUGACCACUGUCAAAGACAAUAUGUUGAGUGCGGGUCAGCAUAGCACAGCAAUGUCUCCAGUCCUAGACAAGUUUGGCACUGGUUUUGGUCAUCUUUUCUAUAUCCUCACCUUCUCAAAGAUGUAAGUUUUCCUCUCCACUCUGUGAAGAUCAAAGAUCCCAGUCCCAGAAAAGCCCAAUUCAAGAUCUUUUUGGAUGAUAUCACCCAUGCCUCAACUCCCUUCAUGUAACAGACCCCAUACAGGAGCUGGGCUGAAACCGAGCACCGGGCAGAUACCUGACACCAGGACUGAGCCAGACUGUGGCCUGAUUUACGUGGGGGAACAAGGCCAAAGUGAAAUACAACUGCACGAAGGGAAGGAGUUGGCACUGCAGAGUAUGGAUGUGUGCGCUCAGCCAACACGCGAGGUAGGCCAUUUCAGAGCAAUAAUUUUGCUCCUCCUGUACUUUUUUUUUUCCUUAUUUUCACAUAAAAACCUCCAAUGGCCACACUUAGCUGUUACUUCACAUUUCUUAAGGUCAUUUACACCCAAAAUGUGAAAGAUUAGAUCACUGCCUCCAGGCUUGGAUCUUGGUUAUGCAACCGUAGACCUCGAGCCACGCCAGCCAUCUCUGCGGGGUAGUCCCCACAGCAGACUGGUCCAUGAAGGCAUUAAAUAGGCCUGUGUGUGGCCAAACGGUGUAGAGCCCAAAUAUGUGUAAUAGUUUUCAGAUUUCAUCACAUUCCCACGGAACUCUGUGCCUUGUAUCUGUGCCAUUAACCUCUGAACUCUCCAUGAACGUAACACCCACGGCUGGUACAAAUAUAGCCACGGCCAACGUGGACACCUUGGCAUCACCACCACAGUACUGAGGUCUAGGAAAAUCUUAAACUAUGAUUUAAAUGGCAUAAACUAUGAUUUAAAUGGCAUUAUUUGUAUAGUUAGCUGCCCGAUAUUUGGCUUUCACAAUAGCUGUAGGCUGUGAAAGGUUUUGACUUUUGCAUAUGGGGAAGUGUUUAAAAAGCUUGCAGCUCCCAUCACUGCUUUUAAAGGAUGAUAACACAGCUCUUUAUAGUUCUGAGAGGUAUUUUAAUACUUUUUUUUUUUUUAUCAGGAACUUCCAUUGUUUUUCAUUGCUGGUCGUUGGGGGUGGGAGGUUGGUUGAGGGGAGCUGACACUGCUGGCACAGAAGGCUGCAGCUGUUUGGUCUGGGAUUGGAAAGGCUGAAUCACUCUUUGGGGUGAAGUCCAAAACUUCCCACGAAUUGGUCCCACCCCAGCAGGGGACGGAGCUUCAUGUAUGAAAAAUCCAAAAGAUGAGCGGGAGGAGAAACAAAUUUGGUUUAUUGAAGCUUUUUUCCUUCCACAAACUGGGGGCUAAGAAGAAAUAAUAAGACAGUGAUUAUUAUGGUCACCAGAUGGGUCAGCCACAUCGGUUCAGCCACUCCUCGGAGGGACCAAGCAAAAAGAAAGGAAGGAUUUGAUCUGUUGGUAUUAACCUGAGGUAACACGGAUGCACAGUGGGAAUGGGAAAUACCUUCCACAAUACAGGGACAGGCU